CCAGGCUGCAGGGCUCUGGGAUUCUAAAGCACAGCCUCCCGCAUCUGCCAUCCCCCAUGCCCCUUUGCCCCGCAUGGCCUGUGUCCCCCUCUGUGUAUGUGCCAUCCCGGGAACAGAUGGAGCUCAAGAGUCACUCUCAGAAUAACAGAGUCGGUUCAGUUUAGCAGGGACAUUUUAAAGACAAUGGUUCAACUCAAAGGAGGUGCCCCACACCCAGCUGGAGAGAAGUGAGGGCUGGUGGCAACAGCAAUCCCAAGGGGAAAUGGCAAAAUGGAACCAAGCCUCCAUGAACUCAGCUAAUGGAAGAUGAGAAGAAAGCAGAAGAGGGAAAUUCUGAGAUACACUCCAAUGGCAAUUCAGCCGUGUCUUUUUGCCUGAGCUGCUGAGGGUCAAAACGAAGUGGCUGAUGACACUUGGUGGCAUCUUCAUCCCUACAUAGGUUGUAUACACUGACAGUGGGGGCAGGAGGAGAGUUGGUUGUGGCUGAGUAGAGGGACAGAAAUUGAAGAGACAUCACCCUUCCAACAGUACUUAGGGAGGAGGAAGUGGUGGGGAAGAGGUAAACCAAUGAUACUAUCCUUGCUCAUUCAGGCAAGACAGUUAUGCCAAUGUCCCCAGACGUCACAGUAUCCUGGAAUCAUACUGCUGGGGGCGAACUUAGAGGCUAUCUCCUCCGACUCCAUUAUUUUAAAGAGUAGGAGAUGCAGAUCCAGAGAGGGAAGUGACCUGUCACAGUCAUACCACUGGAUGAUGAUGGAACCAAAAGCCUAAUUCCGGGCUGUUUCCAUGACAAGAACCCAGGAUGGGAUCUGCAACAGGCCUUGGUGGAGUUCAGCGUUGUUUGGGAGCCGGAUUUGUGGCUGAGAGGUUCAUAACUGAGAGAACCUAGAUGCCCUUGGUUUGACAUUUCUACCCCACUGAAGGAACUAGUCUCUAUUAAGAUCAGUUGAACUCUCAAAAGCCAGAUCAUCAGGAGAAAGGGCCAUGGAGAGUAAGAAUGUCUUCCCAAAGACAGUCUUUUCGUUUAACAGAAGAAGAGAGAUUGAUGCAGGAGGGUCUGGUUUUUUACUAGAUCUACCUAGACACAAGACAUGGGAAGUUUGCGUGUGUUCUCUCAAUGCCAUUCUAUGAAAAUAGUGGGGCUUCCAUUCUUGGGAAAAUUCUUAUCCCAUGUCCCCUCCUUAGGGGGCUGAGAAGUGCCCAUUGUGAGGAUUAGUAGGAUAUAAUGAACAAAAUUCCCUGGGACAAGAGGCUGCAAACCUGAGUCUAGAGCCACAUGAUGAGGCCACCAGGCUCCGCCCUAGCCUUCCCAAGAGAGACACACCCCCCCAACCGGCCACCACUUCUCUGGUGAUUUCAUUCUCUAUAAAAGUGCAGCAAGAGCAGAAAAGCUCUCUGUAUUGGCAGCACAUUUCUCCCACGGCAAGGCAGCGGCUUUGGACAGGAGAGCGUCUGGACCUCCUGCUCCCGGGGGAGGCUCCUCCUCCUCUGUGGACUGGGGCACCCACUUCAUUUACCCUGUGCUUUCCUUGAAGAUGUUCAGAGCACAGCACAAAUGAUUUUAUUAACUCUCUAAAAUUCAGGCAGUGGUGAAAGUGGGUCUUGGUUUCAAAAUCGAAGACCUAGGGCGACAGCCGUUACCAUAUGGUGAUGUCACAGACUCUUUGCACGUCCAGAUGGACAGGAUCUUAGAAACAACCCCACAGAUAUGACACAGAGGCUAAGAGACCAGAACCCCACAGAUGUGACAUAGAGGUUAAAAGACCAGGCUGUUGUGCUAGACCAUUUGCAUUACGUCACUAAUUAUCCUUAGUAUCCUUACUCCCCUGGGCAGCUUCUUAAGUUCUCCAGAGCUCUGUUCCCUUGUCUAUAAAUGAGGACAAUGAAAAUACCAAUACCCACCUCUUAGGUUUGUUGUGAGGACAAAAUGAGAUACUUUACCUAAAGUGCUGAUGAUAAGCAUUCAA